CGGUUAAGUUAGAAAGGGCGCACGGUGGAUGCCUUGGCACUAGGAGCCGAUGAAGGACGGGACGAACACCGAUAUGCUUCGGGGAGCUGUAAGCAAGCUUUGAUCCGGAGAUUUCCGAAUGGGGAAACCCACCACUCGUAAUGGAGUGGUAUCCAUAUCUGAAUACAUAGGAUAUGAGAAGGCAGACCCGGGGAACUGAAACAUCUAAGUACCCGGAGGAAGAGAAAGCAAAUGCGAUUCCCUGAGUAGCGGCGAGCGAAACGGGACCAGCCCAAACCAAGAGGCUUGCCUCUUGGGGUUGUAGGACACUCUGUACGGAGUUACAAAGGAACGAGGUAGAUGAAGAGGUCUGGAAAGGCCCGCCAUAGAAGGUAACAGCCCUGUAGUCAAAACUUCGUUCUCUCCUGAGUGGAUCCUGAGUACGGCGGAACACGUGAAAUUCCGUCGGAAUCCGGGAGGACCAUCUCCCAAGGCUAAAUACUCCCUAGUGACCGAUAGUGAACCAGUACCGUGAGGGAAAGGUGAAAAGCACCCCGGAAGGGGAGUGAAAGAGAUCCUGAAACCGUGUGCCUACAAGUAGUCAGAGCCCGUUAACGGGUGAUGGCGUGCCUUUUGUAGAAUGAACCGGCGAGUUACGAUCCCGUGCAAGGUUAAGCAGAAGAUGCGGAGCCGCAGCGAAAGCGAGUCUGAAUAGGGCGAAUUGAGUACGUUGUCGUAGACCCGAAACCAGGUGAUCUACCCAUGUCCAGGGUGAAGUUCAGGUAACACUGAAUGGAGGCCCGAACCCACGCACGUUGAAAAGUGCGGGGAUGAGGUGUGGGUAGGGGUGAAAUGCCAAUCGAACCUGGAGAUAGCUGGUUCUCUCCGAAAUAGCUUUAGGGCUAGCCUCAAGGUAAGAGUCUCGGAGGUAGAGCACUGAUUGGACUAGGGGCCCCUACCGGGUUACCGAAUUCAGUCAAACUCCGAAUGCCGAUGACUUAUCCUUGGGAGUCAGACUGCGAGUGAUAAGAUCCGUAGUCGAAAGGGAAACAGCCCAGACCGCCAGCUAAGGUCCCAAAGUAUACGUUAAGUGGAAAAGGAUGUGGAGUUGCUUAGACAACCAGGAUGUUGGCUUAGAAGCAGCCACCAUUUAAAGAGUGCGUAAUAGCUCACUGGUCGAGUGACUCUGCGCCGAAAAUGUACCGGGGCUAAACGUAUCACCGAAGCUGCGGACUGUUCUUCGAACAGUGGUAGGAGAGCGUUCUAAGGGCUGUGAAGCAAGACCGGAAGGACUUGUGGAGCGCUUAGAAGUGAGAAUGCCGGUAUGAGUAGCGAAAGAGGGGUGAGAAUCCCCUCCACCGAAUGCCUAAGGUUUCCUGAGGAAGGCUCGUCCGCUCAGGGUUAGUCGGGACCUAAGCCGAGGCCGAAAGGCGUAGGCGAUGGAUAACAGGUUGAUAUUCCUGUACCACCUCCUCACCAUUUGAGCAAUGGGGGGACGCAGGAGGAUAGGGUAAGCGCGGUAUUGGAUAUCCGCGUCCAAGCAGUUAGGCUGGGAAAUAGGCAAAUCCGUUUCCCGUGAAGGCUGAGCUGUGAUGGCGAGCGAAUUAUAGUAGCGAAGUUCCUGAUUCCACACUGCCAAGAAAAGCCUCUAGCGAGGUGAGAGGUGCCCGUACCGCAAACCGACACAGGUAGGCGAGGAGAGAAUCCUAAGGUGAUCGAGAGAACUCUCGUUAAGGAACUCGGCAAAAUGACCCCGUAACUUCGGGAGAAGGGGUGCUCUGUUAGGGUGCAAGCCCGAGAGAGCCGCAGUGAAUAGGCCCAGGCGACUGUUUAGCAAAAACACAGGUCUCUGCGAAGCCGUAAGGCGAAGUAUAGGGGCUGACGCCUGCCCGGUGCUGGAAGGUUAAGAGGAGCGCUUAGCGUAAGCGAAGGUGCGAAUUGAAGCCCCAGUAAACGGCGGCCGUAACUAUAACGGUCCUAAGGUAGCGAAAUUCCUUGUCGGGUAAGUUCCGACCCGCACGAAAGGCGCAACGAUCUGGGCACUGUCUCAACGAGAGACUCGGUGAAAUUAUAGUACCUGGGAAGAUGCAGGUUACCCGCGACAGGACGGAAAGACCCCGUGGAGCUUUACUGCAGCCUGAUAUUGAAUGUUGGUACAGCUUGUACAGGAUAGGUAGGAGCCUUGGAAACCGGAGCGCCAGCUUCGGUGGAGGCAUCGGUGGGAUACUACCCUGGCUGUAUUGACCUUCUAACCCGCCGCCCUUAUCGGGCGGGGAGACAGUGUCAGGUGGGCAGUUUGACUGGGGCGGUCGCCUCCUAAAAGGUAACGGAGGCGCCCAAAGGUUCCCUCAGAAUGGUUGGAAAUCAUUCGCAGAGUGUAAAGGCACAAGGGAGCUUGACUGCGAGACCUACAAGUCGAGCAGGGACGAAAGUCGGGCUUAGUGAUCCGGUGGUUCCGCAUGGAAGGGCCAUCGCUCAACGGAUAAAAGCUACCCCGGGGAUAACAGGCUUAUCUCCCCCAAGAGUCCACAUCGACGGGGAGGUUUGGCACCUCGAUGUCGGCUCAUCGCAUCCUGGGGCUGUAGUCGGUCCCAAGGGUUGGGCUGUUCGCCCAUUAAAGCGGUACGCGAGCUGGGUUCAGAACGUCGUGAGACAGUUCGGUCCCUAUCCGUCGCGGGCGCAGGAAAUUUGAGAGGAGCUGUCCUUAGUACGAGAGGACCGGGAUGGACGCACCGCUGGUGUACCAGUUGUUCUGCCAAGGGCAUCGCUGGGUAGCUAUGUGCGGACGGGAUAAGUGCUGAAAGCAUCUAAGCAUGAAGCCCCCCUCAAGAUGAGAUUUCCCAUUCCGCAAGGAAGUAAGAUCCCUGAAAGAUGAUCAGGUUGAUAGGUCUGAGGUGGAAGUGUGGCGACACAUGGAGCUGACAGAUACUAAUCGAUCGAGGACUUAACCAAUUU
rnacentral:rRNA from 1 species